UACAGAGGGGGCAAGCGUUGUUCGGAAUUACUGGGCGUAAAGGGCGCGUAGGCGGCCUUCUAAGUCGAACGUGAAAUCCCUGGGCUCAACCCAGGAACUGCGUCCGAUACUGGAAGGCUUGAAUCCGGGAGAGGGAUGCGGAAUUCCAGGUGUAGCGGUGAAAUGCGUAGAUAUCUGGAGGAACACCGGUGGCGAAGGCGGCAUCCUGGACCGACAUUGACGCUGAGGAGCGAAAGCCAGGGGAGCAAACGGG
rnacentral:rRNA from 1 species